AUUGAACGCUGGCGGCAUGCCUUACACAUGCAAGUCGAACGGCAGCACGGGUGCUUGCACCUGGUGGCGAGUGGCGAACGGGUGAGUAAUACAUCGGAACGUACCUUAUCGUGGGGGAUAACGCAGCGAAAGCUGUGCUAAUACCGCAUACGCCCUGAGGGGGAAAGCGGGGGAUCGCAAGACCUCGCGCGAUUAGAGCGGCCGAUGCCUGAUUAGCUUGUUGGUGGGGUAAAAGCCCACCAAGGCGACGAUCAGUAGCUGGUCUGAGAGGACGAGCAGCCACACUGGGACUGAGACACGGCCCAUACUCCUACGGGAGGCAGCAGUGGGGAAUUUUGGACAAUGGGGGCAACCCUGAUCCAGCAAUGCCGCGUGAGUGAAGAGGGCCUUCGGGUUGUAAAGCUCUUUUGUCAGGGAAGAAACACCGGCUCUAACACAGUCCGGGAAUGACGGUACCUGAAGAAUAAGCACCGGCUAACUACGUGCCAGCCGCCGCAGUAA
rnacentral:rRNA from 1 species